UCUAUUUGCCUUUUAUGAAUUUAGAUCAGCCUUGUUUUUCUAGGUUCAAUUACUAGUUUUUAAGAAUCAUUUUGUGGCCUUUGUUUUGUAUGAACAUUUGUUUAUAUUAUUUUUGAAAUUUAAGUGUCUGUUGUCUGGUCAUUUUAAGUGUUUAGCGUAAAGUGCUUUAUUUAACGUUUCUCAGUGUGGUUAGGCACCUCCUCCCCGUUUGUUUAUAUUACCCAAGGCCAAUACAGUAGAGGUCAGACAGAGAAGAGAUUAUCGGUGACUCACCUUCCAGAGUGGGCCACAAUUCACCCCACCCCGACACAACAUUCCCACCUGACCCUUUUAAGUGACCCGUGGCCGACAACCACAACUUAGGGUCUUUCUGGAGAUGUGGCCCAUGAAAUUUGUCUCGACCGUUUCUCUCCGACUGACCUAUACUAUAUUGGCCUUGAUGUUACCGAACUAUCGUUUUAACGAUUGUUUUUCUUUUUUUAUACGAGUGUUUAUGAACGCGUCUUGGUGAUGUCUGGACGUUGGUGCUCGGACAGAGUUCAGUUCGGGUUAGAGCACUCCCCUGAUAUUAUACCUUGAGCAGCAUACUGAUUUGGACUUUGGAUGACGAUUAUUUGGCUGUUUAUUUUGGACGACGAUUCUUUGGAUUAUGCUUUGGAUCCUCGCCUUGGUCUGUUGUCUGCAGGUUCUCUAGUCACCUGCGAAUCAAGCGUCUCCUGCCUCGACCUGCGGCUUGAGUACGUCAAUAAGGUACUCGUAGGUGCUCCUGUCACCUGCGACUUGAGCCAUUCCUACCUUUCCCUGACGAGGAGGAAUUCCCAGGGUAUUGUUGCCGUCGCUUUCGUCUCCAAUCAGCUGCUAUGGUUUUCGGAGCUUGCUAGCUCGUGAGAUGGCCUGUAGGGAGGAUGAUGCCAGGUAAGACAGAGUGUCUGAUUUUCGUUUGGGAUCGCCUUUCCCUUUAUGGUAUUACUCUGGCGUUCAUGACCUGCCCUGAUAGCUGUUUUGGCGAGUGGAUCACGGCCCUAGUUUUGUCUCUCCUCUGAUGCAUCCACUGAUAAAUCUGGACGGACCACAACCCGCUGGUUUUCAUCGACCGCAUGAAAGGAGCCAACCAGAGAAUUUUACGUUGGGCUCUGCAAUUGCAAGAAUUCUCGCUUGUGAUAAAACACGUUAAGAGAUCAGAGAAUCGAAUUCCAGAUGCCCUUUCAAGGAUAUAGACUUGAUCACGAUUUGGCUCCUCUCCCCUCGCCCUUCUCGUCUCUUCAAUUGGUUUGCGUAGAUCUUAGAGAUGUGAGGAUGAGUAUGAGUGUGUGUUUAGCUUGGAGUUUGGUUUAUUGGUUAUUAGGUUUUCUUAGUGAGGCAUUUAAUGAUUUUGUCUGUUUUCUUUUGAACCAAAAGAAAACCUGUAGUGAUCAAAGUGCGGGCGGUCAUAACAGGUAGGCUAAUGUGGUAGUGUUUGUUAUGUGUAAACUCAAUAUUAUUGGCUGAAUUUGAGACAGUCAGUGUCUGGUGGUAACUAUUUUGUGUACUAAUUUGACCUUUUGGUUUAUUUUGAUUUGUUUUCUGUUGUUUAGGCUGGUAAGUUUUCUUUGUGUGACAAUUUAGUUAUUGAUAUUCGUGUGUUGUAAUAGUGUUAAUGACAAUUCUUAUUUCAGGUUUUAGACUGAGACUUUACUUUGUCUUGAGAGUGAUGUGUUAAAGAUUUUUUUCUAUUGGAAUAAUUUUUUUUUGUUUUGGGGGAGGAAGGUAUUAGAAAAGACUAGAUUAUUUCUAUUUGCCUAUUAUGAAUUUAGAUCAGCCUUGUUAUUCUAGGUUUAAUUACUAGUUUUUAAGAAUCAUUUUGUGGCAGAAUAGCCUUUGUUUUGUAUGAGCAUUUAUUUAUAUUAUUUUUGAAAUUUAAGUGUUUAGCGUAAAGUGCUUUAUUUAACGUUUCUCAGUGUGGUUAGGCGCCUCCUUCCAGUUUGUUUAUAUUACCGAACUAUCGUUUUAACGAUUGUUUUUCUUUUUUUUAUACGAGUGUUUAUAAACGCGUCUUGGUGAUGUCUGGACGUUGGUGCUCGGACAGAGUUCAGUUCGGGUUAGAGCACUCCCCUGAUAUUGAGCAGCAUACUGAUUUGGACUUUGGAUGACGAUUAUUUGGCUGUUUAUUUUGGACGACGAUUCUUUGGAUUAUGCUUUGGAUCCUCGCCUUGGCCUGUUGUCUGCAGGUUCUCUAGUCGCCUGCGACUCGAGUGUCUCCUGCCUCGACCUGCGGCUUGAGUACGUCAAUAAGGUACUCGCAGGUGCUCCUGUCACCUGCGACUUGAGCCAUUCCUACCUUUCCCUGACGAAGAGGAAUUCCCAGGGAAUUGUUGCCGUCGCUUUCGUCUCCAAUCAGCUGCUAUGGUUUCGGGACCUUGCUAGCUCGUGAGAUGGCCUGUAGGGAGGCUGACGCCAGGUAAGACAGAGUGUCUCUGAUUUUCGUUUGGGAUCGCCUUUCCCUUUAUGGUAUUACUCUGGCGUUCAUGACCUGCCCUGAUAGCUGUUUUGGCGAGUGGAUCACGGCCCUAGUUUUGUCUCUCCUCUGAUGCAUCCACUGAUGUGAGAACAAUUUAUAUAUAUAAUUUGCAUUAUUUAAUCAUAUACCUAUAUAUUUUGUCAUAUUUGUGUCGUGACUAUAUAACGUCACCCAGUGAGUCUAUUAUAGACAAGGCCUUGCGUGUUUAGCUUUGUGUUAUUAGUUAGGAUUUAUAAUAGUUUUCUUGUUUUAUUUACUCAGCCUUCCUUCUCUCUUUGGAUUAGUAUUAGGGUAGUUUUUUUUGGUCUGGCCAGCAAAGUUGUUGGAUCCAAACAAUGUCAAUUAUUAAUAACUAUUAUUUCCCCUUUCUGUUAGGAUUUAGUUUCUUAGUUUUAGGGAAUCCUGAGUGAUUCUAAGGACUGGUAUUUGUCCUUCCUUGUUUUUGAGUUAUGGUCUUUGUCACAUGAAACAAGGUUGAUUUAAAUUUUUGUAUUUGUUCAGUAUUAUAUAUUGUUAAGUUUU